rnacentral:rRNA from 1 species
CGGUGGGGUAACCGUAAGGAGCCAGCCGCCUAAGGUGGGACAGAUGAUUGGGGUGAAGUCGUAACAAGGUAGCCGUAUCGGAAGGUGCGGCUGGAUCACCUCCUUU